UACGUAGGGGGCAAGCGUUGUCCGGAUUUAUUGGGCGUAAAGAGCGUGUAGGCGGCCAGGUAGGUCCGUUGUGAAAACUCGAGGCUCAACCUCGAGACGUCGGCGGAAACCCUUUGGCUAGAGUCCGGAAGAGGAGAGUGGAAUUCCUGGUGUAGCGGUGAAAUGCGCAGAUAUCAGGAAGAACACCCGUGGCGAAGGCGGCUCUCUGGGACGGUACUGACGCUGAGACGCGAAAGCGUGGGGAGCAAACAG
rnacentral:rRNA from 1 species